AAACUGCCAUUGAUACUGUUGUUCUUGAGUCAUUGUGAAGUGGUUAGAAUGUGUAGUGUAGCGGUGAAAUGCAUAGAUAUUACACAGAACACCAAUUGCGAAGGCAUAUCACUAACAAUGUACUGACGCUGAUGAACGAAAGCGUAGGUAGCCAACAGGAUUAGAUACCCUGGUAGUCUACGCCGUAAACGAUGGUUACUAGCUGUUCGUCACGCCUUUGGCGAGAUGAGUGGUUAAGCGAAAGUGAUAAGUAACCCACCUGGGGAGUACGUUUGCAAGAAUGAAACUCAAAGGAAUUGACGGGGGCCCGCACAAGCGGUGGAGCAUGUGGUUUAAUUCGAUGAUACGCGAGGAACCUUACCAAGGCUUAAAUGCAUAUUGACAUUCCGGGAAACCG
rnacentral:rRNA from 1 species